rnacentral:lncRNA from 1 species
GAAAUCCUUUUCACUGGUCUUGUGGAGGUGAUCUCUAGACUCUCAAAAUGUUUUGCCCGGUAGAAGUGUCUUUCUUUGCUUGUGGUCUUUGGCCAUCAGGCAGUUUAUCAAUAGGAUUUAUAAGGGAGGCUUUGGCCAUGCAGUCUCUGUUAUGCCUCCAGAAGGGACUGGAAAAUAAAGGCCUUAACUUGCCCAUUGGGAAGGACUGGAGACUACAGGUCAGCAUAUAUAGACAAUAUAUUACCUAGCCCCAAUAAAAACUCUGUAUACUGAAAUACAGAGUAAGCUUCCUGGAUUGGCAAUAUUCCAUGCAUAUUGUGACACAAUUAAGCAAGGCAAGGAGGAAUUAUCACCAUCCAUGUUUACAUGGGGAGGAGACAAUCAGAAGAUUUGUGCUUGGGCUCUUCCUGAACUCUCCCGUGUGUCUUUUAUUUUGGCUUAUUUUAAUCUAUAUCACUUUCUUGUAAUAAACUGGGACUAUGAAUAUAGCAACUUUCAGUAAGUUCUAUGAGUCCUUGUAGCAAACUAUCAAAUGCAAGCAUAGAUUUUAAAACCCUUAAACUUGUAAUUGGUGUUAAAAGUGAAAGCAACCUUCUGGGGAUUGUUCUCCCCAACUUUGAAAUUGGUUAAAUUCAUUACAACCUCAAACAUCACAAAAUCUAACAAAAUAAUUAUAUAUUUUUAUUAAUUAUUCUCAUGGAUUUCUAUAGUUCAUUGUUUUCUACUUUGUUGACUCUUUUGCAUUUGAUUAUUUGUCCCGAUGCUAAAUAAUUGUUAAUCAUUUUCCAUAGAGACUGUACAAAUAUAACUUAGUAUUUCUUUUACCAUGGAUAAUACGACUUGUCAUUAACAACUUUGGUGUUAUAGGAACGUCG